GACUAGCCGAAGGACCUGUGGGCACCGCAGGGUGGGGAGGGAGGUGUAGGUUUAGGUUGACGUGGCUGUCUGUGCAGAAUCCGGCUCCGGCUCCGGUUCCGGCUCCAACCCGAGCUGCGGGAAGCGCCGUACCGACGAAGCCCGCGCCCCCACGUCAACGCAGCCGGCGCAUGCCGCAGGCUGGAUGUGAGACGACAAGGCCCGCCCCUUCCUGCUCCAGUUGCUGUGGUGACGGGAACCCCUGCCCCGCGGAGGGCGGGUUUAGGCGUGUAGUUUCCCUCUGACCCUGUUCUUAAAGGGAAAGGUCGGGCAAGUUAAUUUAAGAAGUGAUCUGAAAAAGAAGAGCACAUCAAGGAGAUGAUCAGAGAUUCUCAAAAAGAACAUCAAAGAAGUUAAUACAAAUGAUUCAGGUCGAAGAAACAGCUCUUCAGUUUUUCUGUAACUUUCAGUGCCUUGAACUUGUGAAGAAUACAGGUCAGUUAUUUUUCAGCUGUCUCUCUUUUUGGUUUGUCUGAUGUUUCCCCAUGACUACAUUUAAGUUAUGCAUCUCUAUCAGGAAUAUAAUAGAAGUGACAGUAUUUUUUUAAUUGCAUGUUAUCAUGUGGUCCCAAAUACUGAUUUAACCCAUUACUGGUAGUGUUAAAUUUGAUCGUUUGAUUAAAGAAAUGUCUGUGGGGCCUUUCCACUGUAAAGUCACAUUUUUCCUUUUUGAAAUUAAGAAGAGUUUUGUGAGGAGAUACUUUAAAACUUCAUCAAACUUUCAAUUUACUCACUGACUUAUGGAUUCAUAGAUUCCUAUUUUAUUUAAAGGGUUAAAAUCCAUUAUUCCAUUACUAUUAUUUAUUUAGAUGCCUAAAAUUUUCUAGAUUUGACCAUUUGGAACUCUUUCAAACUGACUUUCACAUUUCUUUGACAAUCUCCAUCAUUGUUUGUUUGUUUGUUUGUUUGUUUUUAUCAUACCUGUGGCAUGCAGAAGUUC